rnacentral:rRNA from 1 species
AUUGAACGCUGGCGGCAGGCCUAACACAUGCAAGUCGAGCGAGCGGCGGACGGGUGAGUAAUGUCUGGGAAACUGCCUGAUGGAGGGGGAUAACUACUGGAAACGGUAGCUAAUACCGCAUACCAUCAGAUGUGCCCAGAUGGGAUUAGCUAGUAGGUGGGGUAACGGCUCACCUAGGCGACGAUCCCUAGCUGGUCUGAGAGGAUGACCAGCAACACUGGAACUGAGCCACGGUCCAGACUCCUACGUGAGGCAGCAGUGGGGAAUAUUGCACAAGGGGCGCAAGCCUGAUGCAGCCAUGCCUAGUGUGUGAAGAAGGCCGUCGGGUUGUAAAGCACUUUCAGCGGGUAGGCGUUACCCGCAGAAGAAGCACCGGCUAACUCCGUGCCAGCAGCCGCGGUAAUAC